GAUGACGCGUGCUGAUUCGAUCAUCAGUACCUAGUAUUUUCGAUAACACACGUAUAAUGGUGUGUGAUGAUGUUGGCAAUCGGGACCUGUGUGUCCCAAGGUAAAAUCCAUUCCUAAUUUCACGUAAUAUAGUUUUUAAAAUUAUUCAUAAUUUAAUAUAUGUGUUUCUAUUAUAAAUGAGAAAAAUUAUACAAACGAUAUUCGAAUUUUCGAGAUGACCAUAGAUCGAGUUAAAAAGGAUUCCCAAAAUUUUUUUGAUCAUAUCAUAGGUAAGAAUUAUGUGUAUUCCGUAUGAAAACAUAAAUUAUAUGUUUAUAAAAAGGUAUAUGUAUAUAGUGCAUUUUGUGUGAAUGUCUAAAUGUAUGUGUAAUAUAAUAUAAAUACAAUUAGUAUGUCUAAUUUGUAUUUGUGUAUAUUUAUGUAGUGUAUAUAUAUAUCUAUGUUGUUACGCAUGUGUGUGUGUAUAUAAAAAUAUACGAUAUAUGAUAUAUGAAUUGAUGAGAACAUAGUUGAUGAGAACAGAACUGAUAAAAAUAAAUGCAUGAAUAAGUAUAUAUACUAUAUUGUGUGUGAUUGUGUAUAUGUGUUUAAGCAUGAACGUGUGUGUAUAUAUCAAUAGAGAUUGUGUAUGUGAAUAUAAAUAUAUAUUUUGUGUGAGACAUGUAGUAAUGGUACAUGUCUAUAUUAUAAUAUAUAUGUGUGUAUAUUAAAAUGUGUGUACAUAUGUUAUACAUAUGAAAUGUAUAACCAGUGUGUGUACAUAUAGGCUUUGGGUACACUGCACUUGUUGUGUAAUUUAUUGCAAAUGUACGGUGCACUGUACUUGCUGUGUGAUCUGGUACAGUUGAGCGAGGAAUUUGAGUAUCCUGUGCUUGCUGUGUAAUCUGGUACAUGAUGAUUCAGAAAAUAGUUUGAAAUAUAUAGCUCUGAUGUACGUGAUGAUAUUGUGUAUUCUGUGUGUGUGUUUGUGUUUAAUUAUAUAUAAAAAUUAAGAUCUUAAGUAAAAAAUAAGUGUGAUUAGAAAGAAGAACAAGAAUUAGGUUAUAAGAGUGAGGAUUAGAAUAUAUUUUGUGUGAUGAUUUAUUUGUUGUAUAUUUUGAUUGUGAUGUUUUGUUUGACACUUUCUUAAUCAUAAGUAUUAUUAAAUUUUAUAUAUUGCGUGAAUGUAUGUGCGUAAAUUUUUGUUGUAGAAUAAUUUUUUCUUACUAAGCUCGUGAAGCUCACUCCAAUUUAUCAUUGUCCAAGUCAAAAGAGAUAAAAAAAUAAGUUCAAGAUCAAUAGAAGAUAGUGAAGAAAAAUAUUAUUCGCUUUUAUUUUAUUGUUUUAAAUUAAUUUAGAUGUCUUAAUUAUUUGUAAAUGAAUAAUUAUUCUGUCACAAGAUAUGUUUAUUAAAGUGUAGUUUUACAUAUUUAAUAUUUAUCUGUUCUAGUAGUUGAAAAUAUUGUGCUAACGUCCGUAUCUACCGAUAUUGGAGUUUAGGAUGUUACAAAUUAGACUUCAUAUAGCUAGAAACUUGUGGGAGCUUGACAAUUAUGAACACAAAUUUGUCAUUAUGUCUGCAUAAUAUUUUGAAUAGCCCUAGGAAAGGGAGAGUGGUCUUGCUUGUGAUGGAUAAUGAUGCCUUGGUUUUUUCUUCUUCUCUUAUUUUUUCCUUAUCGAAUCUUCAAGUUGUGGAUUUUGUUUUCUUCUCUGUGGCUCUUUUAUUUCCUAAUACUAAUUGAUAAUGGACG
rnacentral:lncRNA from 1 species